GGUUCUGUGGCACAGUGGAUAGCGCAUUGGACUUCUUUGUUCACCAUUGGAGUUAUUCAAAGCUUCUGGGUUCAAGUUCCUCCAGAGUCA